UACGUAGGGGGCAAGCGUUGUUCGGAAUUACUGGGCGUAAAGGGCGCGUAGGCGGCACGGCAAGUCAGGAGUGAAAACAUCUGGCUUAACUGGGUGCUUGCUUUCGAUACGGGCAGACUUGAGUACUGCAGGGGAGACUGGAAUUCCUGGUGUAGCGGUGGAAUGCGCAGAUAUCAGGAGGAACACCGGUGGCGAAGGCGGGUCUCUGGGCAGUAACUGACGCUGAGGAGCGAAAGCGUGGGGAGCGAACAGG
rnacentral:rRNA from 1 species